UUGACCUCAUCAGAGGCACGCCAUUCGACUGAGUGACCUAUCAGCUUGUACUUAGGGUCUUUACCUAGGUAGGCUAUCACGGGUAACGGGCGGUUACCGUCGGACUGCCGGAGAAGGCGCCUGAGAGAUAGCGACUAUAUCCACGGGUAGCAGCAGGCGCGAAACUUUCCCACUCGAGACUUUCGGAGGAGGUAAUGACCAGUUCCAUUGGUGCCUUUUGGUACUGUGGAUAGGGGUACGGUUUUCCACCGUACCGAAACCUAGCAGAGGGCCAGUCUGGUGCCAGCAGCUGCGGUAAUUCCAGCUCUGCGAGUUUGCUCCCAUAUUGUUGCAGUUAAAACGCCCGUAGUCUGAAUUGGCCAGCAAUGGUCGUACGUAUUUUUACGUUCACUGUGAACAAAUCAGGACGCUUAGAGUAUGGCCACAUGAAUGACUCAGCGCAGUAUGAAGUCUUUGUUUUCUUCCGAAAACAAGCUCAAUGAGAGCCAUCGGGGGUAGAUCUAUCUCAUGACGAGUGGUGGAAUACUUUGACUCAUGAGAGAGAAGCUGAGGCGAAGGCGUCUACCUAGAGGGUUUCUGUCGAUCAAGGGCGAGAGUAGGAGUAUCCAACAGGAUUAGAGACCCUGGUAGUUCCUACCUUAAACGAUGCCGACAGGAGUUUGUCAUUUGUUAAUGGCAGAAUCUUUGGAGAAAUCAUAGUUCUUGGGCUCUGGGGGAACUACGACCGCAAGGCUGAAACUUGAAGGAAUUGACGGAAGGGCACACCAGGGGUGGAGCCUGUGGCUUAAUUUGAAUCAACACGGGGAAACUUACCAGGACCAGAUGUUUUUUAUGACUGACAGGCUUCGGGUCUUUCAGGAUAUUGUUUUUGGUGGUGCAUGGCCGUUGGUGGUGCGUGGGUUGACCUGUCUAGCGUUGAUUCAGCUAACGAGCGAGAUUAUCGCCAAUUAUUUACUUUGCCGAAGUCCUUCGGUUAAAGUUCUAAUUGGGACUCCCUGCGAUUUUAGCAGGUGGAAGAGGGUAGCAAUAACAGGUCCCGUGAUGCCCUUUAGAUGCUCUGGGCUGCACGCGUGCUACA
rfam:Trichomonas vaginalis G3, whole genome shotgun sequence.